CGCGUUAGUUAGCAAUUAUACAGCGAAACUGCGAAUGGCUCAUUAUAUAAGUUAUCGUUUAUUUGAUAGUACCUUACUACUUGGAUAACCGUGGUAAUUCUAGAGCUAAUACAUGCUAAAAAUCCCGACUUACGAAGGGAUGUAUUUAUUAGAUUAAAAACCAAUGCCCUUCGGGGCUCACUGGUGAUUCAUAAUAACUUCUCGAAUCGCAUGGCCUUGCGCCGGCGAUGGUUCAUUCAAAUUUCUUCCCUAUCAACUUUCGAUGCUAGAGUAGUGUUCUAGCAUGGUUACAACGGGUAACGGAGGGUUAGGGCUCGACCCCGGAGAAGGAGCCUGAGAAACGGCUACUACAUCCAAGGAAGGCAGCAGGCGCGCAAAUUACCCAAUCCCGACACGGGGAGGUAGUGACGAUAAAUACUGAUACAGGGCUCUUUUGGGUCUUGUAAUUGGAAUGAGUACAAUUUAAAUCCCUUAACGAGGAACAAUUGGAGGGCAAGUCUGGUGCCAGCAGCCGCGGUAAUUCCAGCUCCAAUAGCGUAUAUUAAAGUUGUUGUGGUUAAAAAGCUCGUAGUAGAACCUUGGGCCUGGCUGGCCGGUCCGCCUCACCGCGUGCACUGGUCCGGCCGGGCCUUUCCCCCUGUGGAACCUCAUGCCCUUCACUGGGUGUGUGGGAAAACAGGACUUUUACUUUGAAAAAAUUAGAGUGCUCCAGGCAGGCCUAUGCUCGAAUACAUUAGCAUGGAAUAAUAGAAUAGGACGUGUGGUUCUAUUUUGUUGGUUUCUAGGACCGCCGUAAUGAUUAAUAGGGACAGUCGGGGGCAUCAGUAUUCAAUUGUCAGAGGUGAAAUUCUUGGAUUUAUUGAAGACUAACUACUGCGAAAGCAUUUGCCAAGGAUGUUUUCUUUAUCAGGAACGAAAGUUAGGGGAUCGAAACGAUCAAAUACCGUCGUAGUCUUACCCUAACUAUGCCGAUAGGGAUCGGACGAUGUUUUUUUUGAUCCUUCGGACCUU
rnacentral:rRNA from 1 species